UACGGAGGGUGCAAGCGUUAUCCGGAUUCACUGGGCGUAAAGGGCUCGUAGGCGGCCAACUAAGUCAGACGUGAAAUCCCUCGGCUUAACCGGGGAACUGCGUCUGAUACUGGAUGGCUUGAGUUCGGGAGAGGGAUGCGGAAUUCCAGGUGUAGCGGUGAAAUGCGUAGAUAUCUGGAGGAACACCGGUGGCGAAGGCGGCAUCCUGGACCGACACUGACGCUGAGGAGCGAAAGCCAGGGGAGCAAACGGG
rnacentral:rRNA from 1 species